rnacentral:RNase_P_RNA from 1 species
GAAGCCAAUUGACGCUUCGCACUGGUAUAAAGUUAGUGCGGGGAGGAAAGUCCGGACACUAAUUCCGAAUUAUUCGGGAUUAUGGAUAAUGGAUAACUUCCAUCCAAUACAUUGCGAGAUGUAUUGCGGGAAAGUGCCACAGAGACAAUACUAUCCCGUCGCUCGCGAGCGACGGGAGAAAGGUGAAAAGUAUAUUGAUGUUUAAAGCGUUUUUCACUAUAUCAGCUGAUUAGUGAAAUUUUUUAAGCUACAGUAUUCCGUCCCGCUUAGGCGGGAUUGGCGGCAAACCCUAUCUGGUGCAAGGCCGUAUGUCGUCCCGCUUAGCGGGAUGGCAGGUGCCGCUUACGAUCCCGGCGGUAACGUCGGGGCUAGAUAAAUGAUUGCCUCCCGCCUUUGGCGGGAACAGAAUCCGGCUUACAGGUUUGCUUUGAUA